rnacentral:rRNA from 1 species
AGAGUUUGAUCCUGGCUCAGGAUGAACGCUAGCGACAGGCUUAACACAUGCAAGUCGAGGGGCAGCGGGGGCGAAGCUUGCUUCGCCUGCCGGCGACCGGCGCACGGGUGAGUAACACGUAUGCGACCUGCCCCCCGCAGGGGGAUAACCGGGAGAAAUCCCGACUAAUACCGCGUAACGCCGCGGGGCUGCAUGGCCCCGCGGCCAAAGGAAGCGAUUCCGGCGGGGGAUGGGCAUGCGGCGCAUUAGCUAGUCGGCGGGGUAACGGCCCACCGAGGCGACGAUGCGUAGGGGUUCUGAGAGGAAGGUCCCCCACACUGGUACUGAGACACGGACCAGACUCCUACGGGAGGCAGCAGUGAGGAAUAUUGGUCAAUGGGCGGGAGCCUGAACCAGCCAAGUCGCGUGAGGGAAGACGGUCCUACGGAUUGUAAACCUCUUUUGCCGGGGAGCAACGGGGUCCUUGCGAGGGCCCGAUGAGAGUACCCGGAGAAAAAGCAUCGGCUAACUCCGUGCCAGCAGCCGCGGUAAUACGGAGGAUGCGAGCGUUAUCCGGAUUUAUUGGGUUUAAAGGGUGCGUAGGCGGGCUGUUAAGUCAGCGGUCAAAUGUCGGGGCUCAACCCCGGCCUGCCGUUGAAACUGGCGGCCUCGAGUGGGCGAGAAGUAUGCGGAAUGCGUGGUGUAGCGGUGAAAUGCAUAGAUAUCACGCAGAACUCCGAUUGCGAAGGCAGCAUACCGGCGCCCGACUGACGCUGAGGCACGAAAGCGUGGGUAUCGAACAGGAUUAGAUACCCUGGUAGUCCACGCAGUAAACGAUGAAUGCUAGCUGUCCGGUUCUACGGGACUGGGUGGCACAGCGAAAGCGUUAAGCAUUCCACCUGGGGAGUACGCCGGCAACGGUGAAACUCAAAGGAAUUGACGGGGGCCCGCACAAGCGGAGGAACAUGUGGUUUAAUUCGAUGAUACGCGAGGAACCUUACCCGGGCUCAAACGCCAAAGGACAGCCGCUGAAAGGCGGCCUCCCUCCGGGGUCUUUGGCGAGGUGCUGCAUGGUUGUCGUCAGCUCGUGCCGUGAGGUGUCGGCUUAAGUGCCAUAACGAGCGCAACCCCCAUCGACAGUUGCUAACGGGUGGAGCCGAGGACUCUGUCGAGACUGCCGGCGCAAGCUGCGAGGAAGGCGGGGAUGACGUCAAAUCAGCACGGCCCUUACGUCCGGGGCGACACACGUGUUACAAUGGCCGGUACAGCGGGAUGCCAGGGCGCGAGUCCGAGCGGAACCCGAAAACCGGUCUCAGUUCGGAUUGGAGUCUGCAACCCGACUCCAUGAAGCUGGAUUCGCUAGUAAUCGCGCAUCAGCCACGGCGCGGUGAAUACGUUCCCGGGCCUUGUACACACCGCCCGUCA